UGGGGAAUUUUGCACAAUGGGGGAAACCCUGAUGCAGCGACGCCGCGUGAUUUAGAAGGCCUUCGGGUUGUAAAAAUCUUUUCUAUGGGAAGAAAAUGACAGUACCAUAGGAAUAAGGACCGGCUAAUUACGUGCCAGCAGCCGCGGUAAUACGUAAGGUCCGAGCGUUGUCCGGAAUCAUUGGGCGUAAAGGGUACGUAGGCGGGUAAGCAAGUUAGAAGUGAAAUCCUAUAGCUCAACUAUAGUAAGCUUUUAAAACUGCUCAUCUUGAGGUAUGGAAGGGAAAGUGGAAUUCCUAGUGUAGCGGUGAAAUGCGCAGAUAUUAGGAGGAAUACCGGUGGCGAAUGCGACUUUCUGGCCAUAACCUGACGCUGAGGUACGAAAGCGUGGGUAGCAAACAGGA
rnacentral:rRNA from 1 species